rnacentral:rRNA from 1 species
CCUACGGGUGGCAGCAGUCGAGAAUCAUUCACAAUGGGGGAAACCCUGAUGGUGCGACGCCGCGUGGGGGAAUGAAGGUCUUCGGAUUGUAAACCCCUGUCAUGUGGGAGCAAAUUAAAAAGAUAGUACCACAAGAGGAAGAGACGGCUAACUCUGUGCCAGCAGCCGCGGUAAUACAGAGGUCUCAAGCGUUGUUCGGAAUCACUGGGCGUAAAGCGUGCGUAGGCUGUUUCGUAAGUCGUGUGUGAAAGGCGCGGGCUCAACCCGCGGAAGGCACAUGAUACUGCGAGACUAGAGUAAUGGAGAGGGAACCGGAAUUCUCGGUGUAGCAGUGAAAUGCGUAGAUAUCGAGAGGAACACUCGUGGCGAAGGCGGGUUACUGGACAUUAACUGACGCUGAGGCACGAAGGCCAGGGGAGCGAAAGGGAUUAGAUACCCCUGUAGUC